rnacentral:rRNA from 1 species
UUCUUUAAAAUUAAAAAUUUUGGCGGUAUUUUAGUCUUUUCAGAGGAACCUGUUUUUUAAUUGAUAAUCCACGAUAAUUGUUACUUAAGCUUUAAAUUUAUAUAUCGUCGUUUAUAAAAAUUUUAUUAUUUAAUUUUUUCAGAUCAAGGUGUAGUUUAUGUUUAAGUUUAAAUGGGUUACAUUAAAAAUUUCAAAUAAAUUGGAUUUGAAAGUAAGCUCUAAAAUAUGCACAUAUCGCCCGUCGCUUUCAUUAUAAAAUGAAAUAAGUCGUAACAAAGUAGGCUUAUUGGAAAAUGAGCCUAGAAUGCAAAUUAGAGCUUGAUAAGCAUUUUAUUUACAUUAAAAAGUUGAUUGUUAAAUUCAAUUUAAUUUGAAUUUAAUAUAUUAUUGUUAUUUUUGUUUUUUUUAUUUUAAAUGAAAAAUAUAAGUUUUUAUUAUUUUAAGGAAAAAAUAUAAUUUUAGUUUAUAGUAUAGUGAUAGAAUUAUUUUUAAUUUGUUAAAGAAGAAUUUAUUUUUCGUACCUGGUUCAGGGUUAAUUAAUUUUGGUUUCUCGAAUUUAGAAGAGUAAAUUUUAUUGUAAAAUAAAUAUUUAUAAUUGGUAAUUAGAAAUGAAAUGUUAUUCGUUUUUAAAUAUAUCUAGUUUUUUAAGAAAAAAAUUUAAUUUUAUUAUUGUUUAUAAUUUUAUAAGGGAUAAGCUUUUAAUUAUAUGUUUAUAAACUAUUAUUUUUAUAAAAGUUAUAGGAUUAGAAUUUUCUAUUUUUAAUAGAAUGUUAUAAUUAAUAGUUUUAAGUUUUUUAUUAAAAUUUUAAUUUAAGUUUUUUAAAUUAAGUAUUAAUGAUUGAAUUAGUAAGUUUAUAAUAAGGAACUCGGCAAUAUAAAUUUUCACCUGUUUAAUAAAAACAUGUCUUUUUGAUUAUAAUUUAAAGUCUUGCCUGCCCAAUGAUUUAAUGGCCGCAGUAUAUUGACUGUGCAAAGGUAGCAUAAUCAUUAGUUUUUUAAUUAAAAGCUGGAAUGAAUGGUUUGAUGAAAAAUUAACUGUCUCUAGAAUUUUAAUUUUAAGUGAAAAAGCUUAAAUGUUAUAUAAAGACGAGAAGACCCUAUAGAGUUUUUUUAUUGGGGUGAUGUAAAAAUUUAAUGAACUUUUUAUUUGUAUGAAAAAUUGAUCCUGGAUUAUAAGAUAAAAUUACCUUAGGGAUAACAGCGUAAUUUUUUUGGAAAGUUCUUAUUU